rnacentral:rRNA from 1 species
UACGUAGGGGGCUAGCGUUGUUCGGAAUUACUGGGCGUAAAGCGCACGUAGGCGGAUUGGAAAGUUGGGGGUGAAAUCCCGGGGCUCAACCCCGGAACUGCCUUCAAGACUCCCAGUCUGGAGGUCGAGAGAGGUGAGUGGAAUUCCGAGUGUAGAGGUGAAAUUCGUAGAUAUUCGGAGGAACACCAGUGGCGAAGGCGGCUCACUGGCUCGAUACUGACGCUGAGACGCGAAAGCGUGGGGAGCAAACAGG